rnacentral:pre_miRNA from 1 species
CGUCCCAAAAUUCUUGUCUUAGAUUUGUCUAGAUACGGAUGUAUCAAGUCACAUUUUAGUAUUAGAUACAUCCGUAUCUAGACAAAUCUAAGACAAGAAAUUUGGGACAAAGGGAGUAGUUG